CAAUACUUUGGUGGCGACCGGCGCACGGGUGCGUAACGCGUAUGCAACCUACCUUUAACAGGGGCAUAACACUGAGAAAUUGGUACUAAUUCCCCAUAACAUUCGAGAAGGCAUCUUCUUGGGUUAAAAACUCCGGUGGUUAAAGAUGGGCAUGCGUUGUAUUAGCUAGUUGGUGAGGUAACGGCUCACCAAGGCAACGAUACAUAGGGGGACUGAGAGGUUAACCCCCCACAUUGGUACUGAGGCACGGACCAAACUCCUACGGGAGGCAGCAG
rnacentral:rRNA from 1 species